rnacentral:tRNA from 1 species
UUCUAGAGUACAUAUAGAUAUUCUCUCACAAGAUAUCUAUAAGAAAGAUAUUCUCAAUCAUCCUUGUUUAGUUUUGAAAGAUUGAUAGACCUAUAGGGGCCUAUAGCUCAGCUGGUUAGAGUGCACCCCUGAUAAGGGUGAGGUCACAAGUUCAAGUCUUGUUAGGCCCACCAGAGAAUUUAAUUGGGGAAUUAGCUCAGCUGGGAGAGCGCCUGCUUUGCACGCAGGAGGUCAGCGGUUCGAUCCCGCUAUUCUCCACCAUAAAAUAGUUUAACAGCAUUAAGUCUAAUUAGAGAGCUUGAAUUUAAACUUUCUAAUUAGACUUUUGUCUAAAUGUUCUUUUAAUUAAUAUUGUUAAUAGUCACAAGCAAGUUUUAAAAACAAUUUUACAGGACUUGUUAAAGAUUUAAAUUUCUAUUCUCUUUGCAUUUAAUGCAAAAGUUUGACAUCACAAUCUAUUUAGGAUUUAAAACUUAUCUAAAUAGUAGUCAAUGCUUUCCGUCUUGAGGGUUAGAAUUUAAGUGUAGUAACAUGAAGUUAUCUUUAACAAGGAAGUGAUGCGAAUUAGAAUAAUCUAAUAUAGAAAAGGUA